rnacentral:tRNA from 1 species
GCCGCUGUUGUCCAGAGGUUUAGGAUGUUAGAUUGUGGCCCUAAAGACCCUACCGAGGUUCGAGCCCUCGCGGUGGCA